UACGUAGGGUGCGAGCGUUGUCCGGAAUUAUUGGGCGUAAAGAGCUCGUAGGCGGUCUGUCGCGUCGGUCGUGAAAACUUGGGGCUUAACCCUGAGCUUGCGGUCGAUACGGGCAUGACUGGAGUUCGGCAGGGGAGACUGGAAUUCCUGGUGUAGCGGUGAAAUGCGCAGAUAUCAGGAGGAACACCGGUGGCGAAGGCGGGUCUCUGGGCCGAUACUGACGCUGAGGAGCGGAAGCGUGGGGAGCGAACAGG
rnacentral:rRNA from 1 species